UACGAAGGGGGCUAGCGUUGCUCGGAAUCACUGGGCGUAAAGGGUGCGUAGGCGGGUUUUAAAUCAGGGGUGAAAUCCUGGAGCUCAACUCCAGAACUGCCUUUGAUACUGAAGAUCUUGAGUCCGGGAGAGGUGAGUGGAACUGCGAGUGUAGAGGUGAAAUUCGUAGAUAUUCGCAAGAACACCAGUGGCGAAGGCGGCUCACUGGCCCGGUACUGACGCUGAGGCACGAAAGCGUGGGUAGCAAACAGG
rnacentral:rRNA from 1 species